UCUAUCUACUUGACACUAAAUUCAAUACCACCUUCAAUAUCGCAUUCUUAUCACAGGUGUAGCAAAUUUUCAUGUGAACUAGUAGAUUUCAACAAUCGACUUAUGCAUUUUAUUUAUUUUAUACAAGUGUUAUUGGGGUAGGGGGAAUUGAACAUAGAACCUCAUGUGGAUGAGUAAAUGCAGUUAACCAUUUGAGCUAGAAGCCCCUACUUCACAAAUGAA